GCCGCAAUGGUGGAAUUGGUAGACACGAGGGACUUAAAAUCCCUUGGCCAGGAAUGGCCGUGCGGGUUCGAGUCCCGCUCGCGGCA
rnacentral:tRNA from 6 species